rnacentral:lncRNA from 1 species
AUGCCCUUUCAACCUUCCAUCUCUGCUAAAUGCCUUUUGGAUCCCAGCAGUGGACUCCACUGGAUGGGUGGAUUGACUCAGAGCAGACUGUUACUGAGGCCUAUUAGGGUUGGUGAAAAGCAUUCUAGCCAGAGCCUCCAGAGAGACGGUGCCUGGAGCAUACACACAGAGAGACACUGGGAAAAUACCCUUGUGCUGGAGCGACAGGGUGAAAACAUCUGUGUUCCUGAGCUGCUUAAGAAGAUAAAGUUAAUGGGGAGAAGGCAGGGGGCGGGGGAGGUGGGAGGAGUGGGGAAUGGUGCAGUCUGAGGGCGCGCAUGUUUGGAGCAGAUGGAAAAUGUACCCAGAACUGGAGAUGUGAGCCAAUUGUAACUGAUUUUACAACAGAGGUAUACAGAGGAGUCUCAAAGAUGCAGAAUUCCAGUGAAAAACCUGGAGGGUGGCUAAAGGAGGAGAAACCUCUUAAACCCCCAAAGUAAGAUUAAUUCCUGAGAGCGGGCAGGGAAGAUGAUCCCAAGUGGUCCAUGAUUCUAAGUGAAUUUCAUACCUGCCUGCCAGGGAGUGAGGUUUACAGGGCGACCUGGCUAAUCGUCGUUUUCUCACCCCCAAUUUUGCUUCUAAACUGGACAUGCCCUUCCCCUCUCCGCCGCCUGCCUCAAAACUUGUCAAGCUACUCCUUCUCUUUCGCUAAAAUGCUGCUUCCUAGCAGUCUAAUAUGUGACACAAAUGAACCUCUACAAAAAUGAAACAAACUCAUGGACUUGGAGAACAGACUUGUGGUUGCCAAGAGGGAGGGGGUGGGGGAGGGAGUGGGGUGGACGGGGAGUUUGGGGUGAGUAGAUGCAAACUAUUGCCUUUGGAGUGGAUAAGUAAUGGGAUCCUGCUGUAGAGCACAGGGAGCUGUAUCUAAUCACUUGUGAUGGAACAUGAUGGAGGAUAAUGUGAGAAAAAGAAUGUAUAUAUAUGCAUGCCUGGGUCACUGUGCAAUAUGGCAGAAAUUGACAGAACACUGUCAAUCAACUAAAUAAGAACCAUUUUAAAAGUUAAUUAGAUAAAUAAAUAAGAAAAGGAAAACUUGGUAGUUGCUGAA